rnacentral:rRNA from 1 species
GAUGAACGCUGGCGGCGGGCCUAAUACAUGCAAGUCGAGCGAACGGACGAGAAGCUCUUUCUCCUGCUGUUAGCGGCGGACGGGUGAGUAACGCGUGGAUAACCUACCUCUAUGUCUGGGAUAAUUUCGGAGAAACGGUGACAAUAAUACCUCAUACUUCCUACGGCUUGAAUCAGAAGUGCAUGACGGUCUUGCCGUCUCUUUUAGCUGGUUUCGCGCUGCAUUAGCUAGUUGGUAAGGUAACGGCUAACCAAGGCGACGAUGCGUAGCCGACCUGAGAGGGUGAUCAGCCACACUGGAACUGAGACACGGUCCAGACUCCUACGGGAGGCAGCAGUGGGGAAUCUUGGACAAUGGGCGAAAGCCUGAUGGAGCAACACCGCGUGAGUGAAGAAGGCCUUCGGAUUGUAAAGCUCUGUUGUUGGGGAAGAACAUAAGUAGGUGUAACUGUGGACGUCUUGACGGUACCUAAAGAAUAAGCCCCGGCUAACUACGUG